GGGAUUUGUGAUCAAAGGUGGCCUCUUCAUGAAAGCUAUUGUUUGGAGAUGAGCCCGCGUCCCAUUAGCUAGUUGGCAGGGUAAUGGCCUACCAAGGCAACGAUGGGUAGCUGGUCUGAGAGGAUGAUCAGCCACACUGGAACUGGUACACGGUCCAGACUCCUACGGGAGGCAGCAGUGAGGAAUUUUGCGCAAUGGGGGGAAACCCUGACGCAGCAACGCCGCGUGAGUGAUGAAGGCCUUCGGGUCGUAAAGCUCUGUCAAGUGGGAAGAAGUCAUGUAUGGCUAAUAUCCAUAUAUGUUGACGGUACUACUGAAGGAAGCACCGGCUAACUCCGUGCCAGCAGCCGCGGUAA
rnacentral:rRNA from 1 species